AGCGCGUCAGUGGUCUGGGCAGAAGAGACGCGCCUGUCGUCGGGGCUGAGUGGUGCGGGGGUCUGUGGGGUGCGGAGACGAAAGGGAAAGGGAGGGAAGCGGAGCGGAAGACAGAGAACCAGAGCCAGGGGUGGCAGGACAAUGAGAAGUAGAUUCAAACUUAAAGAGAGUGGGUUUAGAGUUGAUCUGAGGAGGAAGUUCUUUGCUGUGGGUGGGAUGAGGCCCUGGCACAGGCCUCCCCGAGAAGCUGUUAUGCCCCGUGUCUGGAAGUGUUCAAGGUCAGGUUGAAUGGGGCUCUCAGCAACCUGGCUUAGUGGAAGGUGCCCCUACCCAUGGGGAGGCUUGGAACUAGACCUUUCAAGUUCCUUCUGACCCAGCCCAUUCUAUGAUGAAAUCCAUGUGAGAAAGCUUUGUGAGUCUCCGGUGUGAACAUUUCCCCUGAGCUGGUUUUGGGGACAAGCUUUCUGCAGAUGAAGUGUGAAGAUUGCCGUAUGUUAGUCUGUUAUUUAAGCUGCCCAUGUUAGCCAUCCACUAAUCCACGAAAUGGACAUUUACAUUGAGAACAGUUCCAGAUAAACAGGACAAGAUGCAGAACUAAAGACUAUUGCUAUUUGCUAUCCUCAGUCUCCUCCUUGGCUCACUUCUCCACACAACUUACCUUGAAGAAGCUGGACAUAAGGGGAGGAACUGAAUGAAGAAUUGAACAAUAUUUCACAUCAAUAUUUAGGUCCCUGGACUAACCUUGUGUGAGAUAUCUUAGAUUUUUUGCUCUCUUUUUAUAGUUCAGAGUACAUUGAGAAUGCAGAGCAUGUUUAUUUUAUAGUAGAGGGGAUAGGAUUUUUAAAAAUAUACAUAUUACUGAUAGUAAAAAUAAGAAGAUACACAAUCAAAGCCCCAGCAGAUAAUCAUAAUUAUUAAAUAUCAAGUAAAUCUUGCCUGACCAGAGGGAUUAGUUUUAGAAAAGCAUUACACAUAAUAUAAAUAAACAAAAGAACCCAAAUAUGAGAACAUUUUAACUUGUGAUACUGAAAGCAGUCAAAGAAUGUUUGUGGGAAUCAGGAAGAAUGUGUAUUAGAAAGAUCAAGGAUUCAUCAGCAAGGAUCUGUAUUAGAAGGCAUCCUUCUUUAUUUCCAUAAUCUCACUAGCAGACAUCAAGUUUUUGUGCAACCUCAGUGUAAUCUACCCAUGCAACUUCAUCAUGUGGCUCUGACUCACUUCCAUAGAGAAGUCUGCACCAGCAUCUGGAAAGUGAUUUCUUCUGAACUUGCACUACUAAUCAUUCGUGAUUAUUACAGAACAGCCCUCAUGUUCUCCUUGCUUUUCAUAAAACAUAUGUUUUAUGAGAAAACAUACUCUUCAGUAGUCCUUGUACACAACUAUCCUAACUUAUCCUAAGCUUAUGCACAGCACUGUCUCUUGUUUUUCUGUUAAGAAAAAGGCCACUUCUGAAAUGUAUUCAUCAUAUGCCUGUUACAAAUUCACAGGGAUAAAAGAAGGAACACUGUGCCAUAAAAAUCAGCACUUAAUGCUUCUUGCAGCAAAGUGAGGAAUUGAAAAUACAUAUCUGAGAACAGUAAGAAGUGGCAUGACAUUUCGCGAGCAAUUUAGAUGCAGUCAGUAAAUUGAUUUCCUGGACCACCCUGCAGAAGAAAAAGCAAGUUAUCACACAGUGCUCUGUGAUUAUGAGAGUUAAGUCAAAAAAACCUUGGAUAAUUGAGGUGGUGAAAAGCAUCACUUCAAGCAUCUAAAUACCAUCAUGGAUUUUUAUGAAUUGUAAUAUUUUCAAUGAAGAUGUAGGACUCAAGACAAAAAGUUUGAAGAGGACCAAUGAAAACGAAGUAUGACUAUCAUCAGGGAAAAUGAGGAAUAUAACUUUAUCUUUUUGUACAGCUUUUUUGCUUUACUGAAAAUACAGAGUUGAAACCCUGACUUCAUUUCAUUGGCCCACAAGUAAUAUAUUCUGGUAAAUUCUUGUAGUGAAUGCUGACUGAAAUCCAAAUGAUAAUGAUAAUAAAUUGCUUAAGUUUCACCAAAGAUCAAAGUGAUACUAAGCAUUGUUUUUCUCCUCUUGAUUCAUUCAGUUGAUGGUGCCUGUGACUUUGGUCCUGGUGCCAGCUCACAUAUCCAGAGGGUUUAUAAUACUUUUCUCAAAAAAAGGGUAAUUUUUGGCCUUGCUUUACAUAAAAUCUUGAGUGAUUGUCCAAAAUCCUUCUUUUAAGGAGUGAGAAGAAUAUUUCUUGUUCCUUUGAAAUAUUUAGACUCAGUAUUCCCAUUACAAACUGUACAAGUUGUAUGCUCCAUGGAACAAUAUCAUUCCAUUUUCAACAUAAAGUAUAGACUUUAUUCCAUUCUACAGAUGGAAAUUAAAAAGUGCUUAUCUUGACAAAGCUGGAUGUUAUAAGGAUGCUCUCAGGAAGAUAGUGGCAAAAUAUAAACAUCAAUAUUCUUCAUGUUUAAACUGUGGAGCUCUUGAGCAAAAGCUGGAAUAGUUCGUUUGAGUAGCUGUGCUUUCUAUAGAUCUCCUUAGUAUGUGUUUAUUGUUAUUUACUGGAUCCUGUUUUCAUAAAACCAUUCAUGUGAACCAAGGUGAGCUGGCAACUGAGGUUGGCACCAAUCUGGUCAUAAGAGUUAGGACUGAUUUGGUAUUAAUAACAACUCUCACAAUGUUUAUGAUGUUAAGUUUACAAGUGGUAUUUUAAGCAAAGGAACAUAAAGAUUGCAGAAUGUGUUGCAAUCUACUCCUUUCUAAUAAAGAUUGAAACCCA